AGCAGCAUGGCGCAGAAGGAAGCGCGUUGGGCUCAUAGAAUCACGUGAUUUGCUUACUAAGCAUCACAUGACUUUGUUACCCAAAGGUCGCUCGAUCGAAACGAGCUGCUGCUA